GGGUCAGUAGGUUGGUCGUGCCACCGGUACGUACUGGUCUCACUGAUUCCUCCUUCCUGAAGAACCGUAAUGCCAUUAAUUUGGUGUUGCGGGGAAACAGGACUGUUACUUUGAAAAAAUUAGAGUGUUUAAAGCAAGCUAACGCUUGAAUACAUUAGCAUGGAAUAAUAAAUAGGACGAUCGAUCCUAUUUUGUUGGUUUCUAGGAUUGACGUA
rnacentral:rRNA from 1 species